rnacentral:snRNA from 1 species
CGUCGGCUGUCAGCGGACUGCU